AGUGAACGCUGGCGGCAGGCCUAACACAUGCAAGUCGAGCGGCAGCGGGUCCCCGCGAGGGGAUGCCGGCGAGCGGCGGACGGGUGAGGAACACAUCGGAAUCUGCCUGGUUGUGGGGGAUAACGUAGGGAAACUUACGCUAAUACCGCAUGCGACCCUGAGUCGACGGACUGGGGGUGAAAGUGAGGGACCUUCGGGCCUCACGCGACCAGAUGAGCCGAUGUCGGANAGCUAGUUGGCGGGGUAACGGCCCGCCAAGGCGACGAUCCGUAGCUGGUCUGAGAGGAUGAUCAGCCACACUGGGACUGAGACACGGCCCAGACUCCUACGGGAGGCAGCAGUGGGGAAUCUUGGACAAUGGGCGCAAGCCUGAUCCAGCCAUGCCGCGUGGGUGAAG
rnacentral:rRNA from 1 species